ACAAUGGCCGGUACAAAGGGCUGCGAUACCGCGAGGUGGAGCGAAUCCCAAAAAGCCGGUCUCAGUUCGGAUUGGGGUCUGCAACUCGACCCCAUGAAGUCGGAGUCGCUAGUAAUCGCAGAUCAGCAACGCUGCGGUGAAUACGUUCCCGGGCCUUGUACACACCGCCCAUCAAGUCAUGAAAGUCGGUAACACCCGAAGCCGAUGGCCCAACCUUUUGGGGGGAGUCG
rnacentral:rRNA from 1 species